UCUGCUGUUGAGUAACGUGCUCUCCCGUCUCUCUACUUCGGUCGACCUGACCGCCCGCUCUUUGCGAUGCUAGAAUAAACAAGUUGUUCUGUUAGCAGUCGCCUCAUGCUUUGCUGGGACCUUCGGAUGCUUCCAGUGUGCCCCAGGCCGCCAGGCCUACGCUACCCUUGGGGCUUGCGACCCAGUUGCAAUAACGGGCGUCAGCACUGAGGUUCCAACAGCCGGUGCCAUCGGUGCGGAUCAAACAGCGGCGACUGAAAGGGCAACAAAAGCGUUCGGAGAAGCGGGGAAAUUCCUGCGUCCGGCGUUAUCAUCCGAUGGUACCAAAACCCACGUGACCAAGUUAUGACGUCACGUUCCCGGUGCUGGACCUGCCUGGGCUCGCACUGCGAAAUGCCGUGGCGCGCAGCCAAAAGAACGACCUGGCCCACUUCCAAAUUGGAUUAAGCCCAGGCACGCCGGCUGAAACCAAGUGGUACACAGUCCAUGAGCGCUUGUCCACCCAGUGCGAUGCAUUGAGACAGUUCCACGCUGCGC